rnacentral:tRNA from 1 species
CGCGGGGUAGCGCAGCGGCGAGCGCGGAAGGCUCAUAACCUUUGAUCGCGGGUUCGAGUCCCGCCCCCGCAA